GAGUUUGAACCUGGCUCAGGACGAACGCUGGCGGCGUGCCUAAUACAUGCAAGUCGAGCGAGCUGAACCAGCAGAUUCACUUCGGUGAUGACGCUGGGAACGCGAGCGGCGGAUGGGUGAGUAACACGUGGGUAACCUGCCCUAAAGUCUGGGAUACCACUUGGAAACAGGUGCUAAUACCGGAUAACAACAAUAGCUGCAUGGCUAUUGCUUAAAAGGCGGCGAAAGCUGUCGCUAAAGGAUGGACCCGCGGUGCAUUAGCUAGUUGGUAAGGUAAUGGCUUACCAAGGCGACGAUGCAUAGCCGAGUUGAGAGACUGAUCGGCCACAUUGGGUCUGAGACACGGCCCAAACUCCUACGGGAGGCAGCAGUAGGGAAUCUUCCACAAUGGGCGAAAGCCUGAUGGAGCAACGCCGCGUGAGUGAAGAAGGUUUUCGGAUCGUAAAGCUCUGUUGUUGGUGAAGAAGGAUAGAGGUAGUAACUGGCCCCUAUUUGACGGUAAUCAACCAGAAAGUCACGGCUAACUACGUGCCAGCAGCCGCGGUAAUACGUAGGUGGCAAGCGUUGUCCGGAUUUAUUGGGCGUAAAGCGAGCGCAGGCGGAAAGAUAAGUCUGAUGUGAAAGCCCCCGGCUUAACCGAGGAAUUGCAUCGGAAACUGUGUUUCUUGAGUGCAGAAGAGGAGAGUGGAACUCCAUGUGUAGCGGUGGAAUGCGUAGAUAUAUGGAAGAACAC
rnacentral:rRNA from 1 species